rnacentral:ncRNA from 1 species
AGAUCAACUGUGAUGGGAACAGUACGCUGAUGAUAUACCUGCACUAGCGAUUCGGGGAUGGUGAAAGCCCGGAGCAGAAUGUCAGCGGAAGAUCAUCCCUGAGUUUUCAGGCUGAAUGAAGUAAGUCUGAACGUGUGACAGCGUUACCCGUUACUUAAGUGGAAAAAGUCUGAUCUUUUUCUAUAAGGGUGGUACCGCGUGAAGCACAAGCUCUCUCGUCCCUUUA